rnacentral:rRNA from 1 species
AUGAAGAGAAAGAGGACUCUGCAUAGUUGGUUUGCAAGUAGUUCAAAUACACUUCCUAAUGAGAGCACAAACCAACCAGCACCACCAACACAAUAUAUAUUAGAAUUUCAUCCAAGUCAGAUUUUUGGUGAUCCGGCGGAUCGAAUACCAAUAGAAGAUUAUGCCCCUGAAAUUCGAAGUGAAGUGAGAAGAGCUUAUUUGUUGAAAGAGCGAAACAAAGCAAGUGGGCAUAAAUUUGAAGUCACAUUGGACGGUAAAAUUUGGAGAUCUUUUCAACCACAAUGGCUAGAUAGGUUUGAUUGGUUGGAAUAUAGUGUCGCAAAGGAGGCUGCCUUUUGCUUCCCUUGUUUUCUUUUCAAGAAACCAUCACAGGCUGCUACAUUUGGAAAUGAUGUAUUUACCAUAGAUGGUUACAAAUGCUGGAAAACAGCUUUGGCAAGUUUUCAAAAACAUGUUGGUGGUCCAUCUAGUUACCACAACAUUGCUAGAGGCUUGUGUGAUGAUUUCAAGAAUCAAAGGGCCAAUGUGGCUACCAAAUUUCGAGCACAUACUAAAGAAUCUGAAAUAAAAUAUAAAAUCCGUUUGACCGCAUCAUUAGAUUGUGCAAGGUAUCUCAUAGCUCAAGGGGAAGCUUUUCGUGGACAUGAUGAGUCCUCCGAUUCCGUAAACAAAGGCUUCAGGCAGUUCUUGGAUUGGUACAAAGACAAGAACAAAGAUGUGAAAGAUGCAUUUGACAAUGGGCAAGGUAAUGCACUUAUGAUAUGUUCACAUAUUCAAAAGGACCUUGCUACAUGUUGUGCUUUGGAGGUAACCAAAGUCAUCAAGAAUGAGCUUGGAGAUAAGAAUUUUGCGAUACUUGUUGAUGAGGCUAGAGAUUGCUCAAUAAAGGAGCAAAUGGCAAUAAUUUUGAGAUUUUUGGAUGAUAAUGGGGAGCUUCAGGAGAGAUUUCUUGCUAUUAAGCACAUCACAGAUUGCACAUCUGCCGGAAUUAAAGAAGCAUUGUUUCAUGUCUUAAAGUACCAUGGCUUGUCUAUUAAUAGGCUACGUGGACAGGGUUAUGAUGGGGCUUCAAACAUGAGAGGAGAAUUCAAUGGUUUGCAAAAGCUAAUUCAUGAUGAGAGUCCAUAUGCUUUCUAUGUUCACUGUUUUGCCCAUCAGUUGCAACUAGUGGUUGUCACAGUGGCUCAAUGUUGUCCGGUUAUUGCUGAUAUUUUCAACUUUCUUCCCUUGAUAGUGACUCAGGUGGGUUCAUCCUGCAAAAGAAAAGAUGCAUUGCUUGCAAAGCAUCAAGAUGACUUGAUAGAGAUGAUGGAGAAUGGUAAGAUAUCAUCUGAAACUGGUUUACAUCAAGAAACUAACCUAGCUAGACCAGGAGUUACUCGUUGGGGCUCACAUCUUAGAACCUUGCUUCGUGUUUACACAAUGUGGAAUGCAGUGGUGGAUGUGCUUGCAAUUGUGAUUGAGGAUGCCCGGGAACACACUUCUCAAGGUGGAGCUUUAGGUUUGUUGGUACAGAUGGAAUGCUUCCAAUUUGUGUUCAUCAUGAUAUUCUUAAUAAACUUGUUGAACAUCACAAAUAUGCUAUCACAAGCUUUGCAAAGGAAGAAUCAAGAUGUUGUUGAAGCCAUGCAAUUGAUCUUGGAUGUGAAAGAAGCUUUGCAAACUAUGAGGGACAAUGGGUAUGAGCCAUUAUGUGAGCAAGCAAAAAACUUUUGUGAGGAACAUGGCAUUGACGUGCCAAAUAUGGAUGAUCUUGUUGGAGCUAUGGGGCAAUCUGCUCGAAGCAAGAAUAAGGUGACUCGAGAUCAUUAUUUCAGGGUGAGCAUAUUCAAUGUUGCGAUUGAUGCAACUCUCACUGAGAUGAACCACCGAUUCAAUGAAGUUAACACCGAGUUAGUGGAUUGCAUGUCUUGUCUUAAUCCAGCUAACAACUUCUCAAAGUUUAAUGAUGAGAAACUUAUUCGGCUUGCUGAAAUUUAUGUUGAAGAUUUUACACAAGCUGAACGGCUGUUGCUAAGAUACGAGCUUCCAACAUUCCUUACAAAUAUUAGGAGAAGUGAGGAAUUUAAUGGAUGUCCGGAUAUUUCUACUCUUGCUCAUUUGAUGAUCCAAACAAUGAAACAUAGAACUUUCCAAUUGGUAUAUCGCCUUAUCGAGUUGACAUUGAUUCUUCCAGUGGCAACUUCGUUGGUUGAGCGAAUAUUUUCAGCAAUGAAGGUCAUCAAAACCGAUUUGCACAAUAAGAUAUCAGAUGAUUGGCUCAAUGAUUUAAUGGUAUGCUACUGUGAGAAAAGGAGAUUUAAAAGUAUUCCAGAUGAUCAAAUUAUGAUACGAUUUCAGAAAAAGAAAAACCGCAAAGGACAUUUGCCUCCUGAGUAUGAUGUUAUUUCUUAG